rnacentral:lncRNA from 1 species
CUGCGCGCCUGAUGGGUCGAGGCGGACGCGCGGCUGCGUCAGCUGCGGGAAACCAGCGGGAGCUUCGGCAGGGCCUGCAGAGAGGACAAGCGAAGUUAGAGCCUAGUGUACUUGCCGCUGGGAGCUGGGCUAGGCCCCCAACCUUUGCCCUGAAGAUGCUGGCAGAGCAGGAUGUUGUAACGGGAAAUGCCAGAAAUACUGCAAGCAAAACUGAAAACAACCCAUCCAUGUAGGAAAGAAUAACACGGACUACACGUUAUUCAAGGACACCGAAAAGCCAACACCAUGGUAGCAUUAAUGAAAGUUUACCAAGAGGAAGAUGAAGCCUACCAGGAAUUAGUUACCGUGGCAACCACGUUCUUCCAGUACUUACUGCAGCCAUUUAGGGCUAUGCGAGAAGUUGCAACUUUAUAAGUCCUUGGAUGAGGAUGACCUAGGUCCUAGAAGGGUAGUUGCCCUGGAG